rnacentral:lncRNA from 1 species
AUUUCACACGGGUUGUGGCGUAGUUUAAGCAGAGAGGGUGCGCAGGAUAAAGCUAUUCACCAUUGUUUCAACAUGAAGGUUUGUAAUAAAAAUUUGUUUCUAUCAGCAUUGCUUUGCAUUGCUGUUGCAGGAGUUUUGGGUCAAGCUCCUAGUAAUCCUCCUACGUCUACGCCGGCGCCACCCACACCACCGGCUUCUACUCCUCCUCCGACGACUCAAGCACCGCCUACACCAACCGCCACUCCGCCACCGGUUUCUACUCCUCCUCCCACUUCAUCACCGCCCCCAGUGACAGCUUCUCCACCCCCAGUUUCAACUCCUCCACCCAGUUCUCCUCCUCCUGCAACUCCACCACCUGCUUCUCCUCCUCCUGCAACUCCACCUCCAGCUUCUCCACCUCCUGCCACUCCUCCACCAGCUUCUCCACCUCCCGCCACUCCACCACCUGCAACCCCACCGCCAGCAACUCCUCCUCCUGCUACCCCACCACCAGCUCCAUUGGCUUCUCCUCCAGCCACAGUCCCAGCUAUCUCUCCAGUACAAACACCAUUGACAUCGCCACCAGCUCCGCCGACCGAGGCCCCAGCACCUACCCUCGGGGCUGCUACGCCAGGUCCAGCUGGAACUGACACGGUACAUUUUCUCUUAUUCCACCAUUUUAUAUCCUUCUUCUCCACCUACGAUCAAGCUUUAUUAUCGGUUGAAAUUUAAGCCUUUACAGCAAGACUUAAAAUAUAAUUUUAUUAAUGGUUUUAUAAUAUUAAAUUAUAAUUUUAUCAUUCUUACACAUUAAUAUAUAAUGUGAUAAAAUUUUUUACUUUGGGUACCGUGCCAACUUCCUAACGUCGCCCUUAAUCUUACAUAAACAACGAUCUGAGCUUGUCUCGAUAUUAGCUAACCCUUAAGCCAUUAGAGAUGGCUAUUGGUUCCGUCUCGACAUACCUUCAACAUAAUCUGAUUUAAAAUUAAAUACUUAUAUCUAUUUUUUAACACAAUAUUUAAAAUUAUCUAUAAUUUCUUCUCAACUUAUAAUUAAAAUAACAAUACUUCAGCGUAUUCAAAUUUACGUACCUAUGUUAAUCUAAUUUGACAAUAAUAUUUAUGUUAAUUGAAUUAAAGCUUGAGAUAUUAAAUUUAAUUAAGA